UACGGAGGGUGCGAGCGUUUGUCCGGAAUCACUGGGCGUAAAGGGCGCGUAGGUGGCCCGUUAAGUGGCUGGUGAAAUCCCGCGGCUCAACUGCGGGGCUGCCGGUCAUACUGGCGAGCUAGAGCACGGUAGGGGCAGAUGGAAUUCCCGGUGUAGCGGUGGAAUGCGUAGAGAUCGGGAAGAAUACCAGUGGCGAAGGCGUUCUGCUGGGCCUUGUGACACUGGAGGCGCGACAGCGUGGGGAGCAACAGG
rnacentral:rRNA from 1 species